CUCUUUCCCAUGCCCAAGGGUUGGGUGUCCUUAUUCCAUAUGCCAAGAAGAAGAAGAGUCUUCUUCUACAGUAAGGAAUGAGGAGAAGGAGGCUGCAGUUCAAGGAUUGAAGUUGUAGUCAAGAUCACUUACUGAUCAAGGUUCAAAGAAGCACAGAUCUUUCUUGAAAAAAGAAAUUUAUCAUAAGAAGAAGGAUUCAAGGUUGAUCCCAAUGGAUACCUGU
rnacentral:lncRNA from 1 species